AACAGAUUGCAAAUGCCUCAAAGAAGAAGAAAACGAAAGCUCUAAGUGAGUUAAACCUUUUUGAUGCUGCAUCAGUGGUGCAACUAAAUUCCAGCCAAUAUCACGGACAUGUUAUAAAUUAUCAGUUCAGGGAUCCAGCAGCAGGGGAUAGGUUUU